GACGAACGCUGGCGGCGUGCUUAACACAUGCAAGUCGAACGGAAAGGCCCUGCUUUUGUGGGGUGCUCGAGUGGCGAACGGGUGAGUAACACGUGAGUAACCUGCCCUUGACUUUGGGAUAACUUCAGGAAACUGGGGCUAAUACCGGAUAGGAGCUCCUGCUGCAUGGUGGGGGUUGGAAGGUUUCGGCGGUUGGGGAUGGACUCGCGGCUUAUCGGCUUGUUGGGGGGGUAGUGGCUUACCAAGGCUUGGACGGGUAGCCGGGCUGAGAGGGUGACCGGCCACAUUGGGACUGAGAUACGGCACAGACUCCUACGGGAGGCAGCAGUGGGGAAUAGUGCACAAUGGGCGGAAGCCUGAUGCAGCCACGCCGCGCGCGGGAUGACGGCCUUCGGGUUGUAAUCCGCUUCCGCCUGUGACGAAGCGUGAGUGACGGUAAUGGGUAAAGAAGCACCGGCUAACUACGUG
rnacentral:rRNA from 1 species